CUCUGAGGACACUGUUGGGAUCAUCUCAGCUGCAUCGUGUCCAGACCAGAGGUCCUCCAGUCAGUCCCCAUGUGUCCUCUCAGCAGAGCUGCAGACACUCUGACUGAACCAAGAGGAACAAACUUCAACUCCAGUCCUGACGUGGGCCUGCACUGCAGCGUCUCGAGGAUGGAGUGUUUCCCUCUGCCCUCCACCUUCACCUCAGAGGAGCCUCCAUGCUGACGGCCUCACUGUGGAGCUGCUGCUGCUGCUGCUGCUGCUGCAAGUCUCUCCUCAUCAAAGUGACGGGACUCUGCAGCGCUGAUGAAGAGGAGGACUGAUUCCUGUUUCCUCCAUCAUGACAAACUCAACCACACAGCAGGGUUCCGUCUGGGUCUCCUGUUCUCUCUGCCUCUCCCACAACAUGGACAAGAACUGUGAGAGCAGCAGCCGUCCAGCCAAGGACAGAACAAGCUUCAUCUGGAGGAAACGGCUGGUCUGAGCUGCUGGACAUUUUGGAACUCAGUCUGGAGGUUGUGAGUUCAAUUCCUGUCUCCCACUGUCUGCAUGUCGAAGUGUCCUUGGGGAAGACACUGAACCCUGAAUUGCCCCCACUGUUGUACGUCGCUUUGGACAAAAGCGUCUGCUCAGUAAAAUUGUGUGAAAAAAGUCUGACUCUUGAAGGACUCAGAAGAGGAAAGCUGUCCUGACUGUUUGAUCUGGGAGGUACGACGAGCCUCUACUGCAUGUUCUUCUUUGUCCCUGAAGCCCAACCGGAAUAGCAGAAAGCCGCCACCUCUGAGCCUGGUUCUGCAAAGGUUUCUUCCUGUUAACAGGGAGUUUUUCCUUUCCACAGUCGCUGAUGCUUGCUCAUGUGGAUCUGUUGGGUUUCAGUUCUGUUUUUUGUCUCUUAAAACAAGACAAAUGGACACAAUUUUGUUCUUUUAUUCAUUGCAAUGUCAGACUGAGCGCUGGUUAACACUAAAUAUAUUCUAUUUUCUGUUGUAAAUGUUUAAGUUUUGAUCUUGUUGAACAGUUAAUAAAAUGUGUCUUUUACUUCAA